rfam:Actinomyces radicidentis strain CCTG 36733, complete genome.
GCCUCGAUAGCUCAGUGGUAGAGCACUUCCUUGGUAAGGAAGAGGUCACGAGUUCAAUCCUCGUUCGAGGCU